CACCGCGGUUAUACGAGAGGCCCAAGUUGAUAGACCCCGGCAUAAAGUGUGGUUAAGGAUUAAACUUUACUAAAGCCGAAGACUUUCAAAGCUGUCAUACGCAAAUGAAAGAUUGAAGCACAACCGCGAAAGUAGCUUUAAGAUACCCCGACGCCACGAAAGCUACGGGA
rnacentral:rRNA from 1 species